rnacentral:rRNA from 1 species
UUGAGUUGUGGAGGUAGAGCACUGAAUGGGCUAGGGGGCCUACAAGCUUACCGAACCCAAACAAACUCCGAAUGCCAUAACUCGAUGCAAGGGAGACAGCGAGUGGGGGAUAAGCUUCAUUCGCGAGAGGGAAACAACCCAGAUCAACAGCUAAGGUCCCAAAAUUUAUACUUAGUGAGGAAGGAUGUUUUGUUGCAAAAACAGCCAGGAUGUUAGCUUAGAAGCAGCUAUCAUUUAAAGAGUGCGUAACAGCUCACUGGUCGAGGGAUCGGGCAUCGAUAAUAAUCGGGCAUUAAGCAUAUUACCGAAGCUAUGGCUCUGCCGUUUAUAUGGCAGGGGGUAGGAGAGCAUUCUAAUGAAGCAGAAGCAGAAAAGAGAUUUUCUGUAGAUUUUUUAGAAAAGAAAAUGUAGGCAUAAGUAACGAUAAUGCGGGUGAGAACCCUGCACGCCAAUAGACUAAGGUUUCCUGAUCAACGCUAAUCGGAUCAGGGUUAGUCGGGACCUAAGGCAACCCCGAAAGGGUUAGUCGAUGGAAAAUCGGUUAAUAUUCCGAUACCAAAUUAUAUAGUGAAGGAGUGACGAGGGAGUGAAAGUCUCGCGAGCUGACGGAAGUGCUCGUUAAAGGGAGUAGGCGUUGAUUCUAAUAGGCAAAUCCGUUAGAAGAGCUGAACCUGAUAGUACUAAGAGUUUUCGGACAAUUAGAUAGUAGAUGUAACCAUACCUCCAAGAAAAGCUUCUAGCGUUAAUAUAUAAUUUGCUCGUACUUCAAACCAACACAGGUAGUCAAGUAGAGAAUACUAAGGCGCUCGAGUGAUGCGUGGCUAAGGAACUAGGCAAAAUAGCCCCGUAACUUCGGGAGAAGGGGUGCCACAAGAAGUGAUGAGACUUGCUCUCGUAGCUGAAAGUGGUUGCAACAAAGAGGCUCAGGCGACUGUUUAGCAAAAACACAGCACUCUGCUAACUCGUAAGAGGAUGUAUAGGGUGUGACGCCUGCCCGGUGCCGGAAGGUCAAA